UACCUGGAGAAGCACAUGAACGU
rnacentral:piRNA from 1 species